GAAGGAUGUGGAAGCCAUAGAAAGGGUGCAGAGGAGAUUUACAAGGAUGCUGCCUGGAUUGGGGAGCAUGCCUUAUGAAAGCAGGUUGAGGGAACUCGGCCUUUUCUCCUUGGAGCGACGGAGGAUGAGGGGGGACCUGAUAGAGGUGUAUAAGAUGAUGAGAGGCAUUGAUCGUGUGGAUAGUCAGAGGCUUUUCCCCAGGGCUGAAAUGGUUGCCACAAGAGGACACAGGUUUAAGGUGCUGGGGAGUAGGUGCAGAGGAGAUGUCAGGGGUAAGUUUUUUACUCAGAGAGUGGUGAGUGCGGGGAAUGGGCUGCCGGCAACGGUGGUGGAGGCGGAUACGAUAGGGUCAUUGAAGAGACUUUUGGAUAGGUACAUGGAGCUGAGAAAAAUAGAGGGCUAUGGGUAA